GACGAACGCUGGCGGCGUGCUUAACACAUGCAAGUCGAACGGAAAGGCCUGCUUUCCCUUGUGGAUUGCGGGUACUCGAGUGGCGAACGGGUGAGUAACACGUGAGUGAUCUUCCCCCAACUUGGGUAUAAGCCUGGGAAACUGGGUCUAAUUCUCGGUAGGACUGCAGGGUGGUGCCUGUGGUGGAAAACGAUUUUCUAGUGGUUGGGGAUGAGCUCGCGGCUUAUCAGCUUGUUGGUGGCGUAAUGGCCUACCAAGGCGGCGACGGGUAGCCAGAGUGUGAUGGUGCACGGUGACAUUGAGACACGGUCCCGGCUCCGACGGGAGGGAGAAGCAGGGGUGAGGAAUAUUGGGGCGUAAGCGGGAUCCUGAUGCAGCGACGCCGCGUGGAAGAUGACGGCCUUCGGGUGGUAAUCUCCUUGGGACCAAGAGGAAGCCACCUGGUUGGAAGGGUGGUGACGGUAGUGGUAGAAGAAGCACCGGCUAACUACGUG
rnacentral:rRNA from 1 species